rnacentral:lncRNA from 1 species
UACCAGUCUCAAUUCUGAUCGGUAAUAUUCCGCAUCUAAACUGGGCUAGCACAGAUCGCUCGUGUUUCGUAAGAUUUAGUUUUACAUAGUGCUCUAGUUCGAAGUUUGUUUUAAAGUUUAAGUAAGAUCGUAGCUUUGGCUUAUUUAUCAAGGACUCUCUCCAUAUAUCACUGUAAUAAGUUCGUACAAUUUGUUCAAAAGAUUUUAAAUCCACCAUUGUUCUACUUUCGUAAUAAUGUAACAUAUUAAGUUCAGUGAAAAUAUCUUUAGUGUCACUACACCAAUUGUUUGUGCAACGAUCAUAAUCCAUAUUGAACACCACUUUCGUUAAUCGGUCGUCUUCAAACGAUAAUAGCCUAUUCCAGUAUCGAAUAAUGUUUACCCAAUGCCGAAACUGACUUGGUAUCCAUCCAGUAUCCCCAUACAGUGCUAGAAUUGGUGCAAAUCUGUGAACGCC